UGGGGAAUAUUGGACAAUGGGCGAAAGCCUGAUCCAGCAAUGCCGCGUGAGGGAUGACGGCCUUCGGGUUGUAAACCUCUUUCAGUAGGGAAGAAGCGAAAGUGACGGUACCUGCAGAAGAAGCGCCGGCUAACUACGUGCCAGCAGCCGCGGUAAUACGUAGGGCGCAAGCGUUAUCCGGAAUUAUUGGGCGUAAAGAGCUCGUAGGCGGUUUGUCGCGUCUGCCGUGAAAGUCCGGGGCUCAACUCCGGAUCUGCGGUGGGUACGGGCAGACUAGAGUGAUGUAGGGGAGACUGGAAUUCCUGGUGUAGCGGUGAAAUGCGCAGAUAUCAGGAGGAACACCGAUGGCGAAGGCAGGUCUCUGGGCAUUAACUGACGCUGAGGAGCGAAAGCAUGGGGAGCGAACAGGAUUAGAUACCCCAGUAGUCCCUGAGCGGGCUGGCAAGGCGCAU
rnacentral:rRNA from 1 species